rnacentral:rRNA from 1 species
ACUCCUGUUGAUACUACCGUGAUGGCACUGAGCUCUGAUUUUGGAAGCUACGUAAGGUUGAACCUGGUUAAUAUUUGAAUGGGAGACCACUAGAGAAUACAGUACCAGGGAUC